rnacentral:misc_RNA from 1 species
CUUGACGGUGCCAAGCUUCAUAUGCUGGAUUGGGAGUGUUAUCAGCUAGGAGAGCUGGUGGUGGUCUGGUAGUCAAAGCAAUAUGAGAAGCGAGAUUAUAUCCUUUGAGAAUGGGAAGAAGCUGAGAUUUCCACAGGAGAUAGUUUGAGGAAUUCAAUUUGAUUGGUAAAAUACUGAUUGACGUAGGGAAUAGAAAAAGAGAUUGGGGAAGUGGAUGAGCUGGAGAUCAAUGCUUGAGAGGAGUCGAUUUUCGAAAAACAACUGGC